CUGGACUCCAGCAGGCAGUGUCUGGCUCCCUGCACCCUCAUUCCUGGACUCCAGCAGGCAGUGUCUGGCUCCCUGCACCCUCAUUCCUGGACUCCAGCAGGCAGUGUCUGGCUCCCUGCACCCUCAUUCCUGGACUCCAGCAGGCAGUGACUGGCUCCCUGCACCUCUAUUCCUGGACCCCAGCAGGCAGUGUCUGGCUCCCUGCACCCUCAUUCCUGGACUCCAGCAGGCAGUGUCUGGCUCCCUUCACCCCUAUUCCUAGACCCCAGCAGGCAGUGACUCUCUGCACCCUCUUUCUUGGACUCCAGCAGGCAGUGACUGUCUCUCUGCACCCUCUUUCUUGGACCCCAGCAGGCAGUGACUGUCUCUCUGCACCCCUAUUCCUGGACUCCAGCAGGCAGUGUCUGGCUCCCUUCACCCCUAUUCCUAGACCCCAGCAGGCAGUGACUGUCUCUCUGCACCCUCUUUCUUGGACCCCAGCAGGCAGUGACUGUCUCUCUGCACCCUCUUUCUUGGACUCCAGCAGGCAGUGACUGUCUCUCUGC